UGGGGAAUCUUCCGCAAUGGGCGAAAGCCUGACGGAGCAACGCCGCGUGAGUGAAGACGGCCUUCGGGUUGUAAAGCUCUGUUAUAUGGGACGAACGGGCGUAUGGUCAAUACCCAUACGCCGUGACGGUACCGUAAGAGAAAGCCACGGCUAACUACGUGCCAGCAGCCGCGGUAAUACGUAGGUGGCAAGCGUUGUCCGGAAUCAUUGGGCGUAAAGGGCGCGCAGGCGGUUCGGUAAGUCGGUCUUAAAAGUGCGGGGCUUAACCCCGUGAUGGGAUUGAAACUGCCGGACUGGAGUGUCGGAGAGGAAAGCAGAAUUCCUAGUGUAGCGGUGAAAUGCGUAGAUAUUAGGAGGAAUACCAGUGGCGAAAGCGGCUUUCUGGACGACAACUGACGCUGAGGCGCGAAAGCCAAGGGGAGCAAACGGGAUUAG
rnacentral:rRNA from 1 species